rnacentral:lncRNA from 1 species
CUCGUGGUAAGAUAGAAGUCUAAUAACUUUGGGAUAAAUCAUCUUCUGUUUUCUGUCUUUCUUCAUAAUAGCUUUGAAUAAGAAACUCAGACUAUUUGCGUAGCUAAACCAAGGUGACAUGAAUCUUAGCUUUUAUUUCUAAGAAAGAUGGACAUGCACCAGUUGUAAGUGAACAUAGGUGUAAAAUAUACAAAAACAGGAUAAAAUUUUCUGAGACCAGGUGCACUACCAUAUCUGUAGCAAAGUCAAGAAGGACUUAAAAGUGUGAGUAUGGAAGAAAAAGACACUGACUGGUUAUGAUGUCAAGAAAUAAGCUCAAAGGUCUUUGGCAGGGCUGACAGUGUCUUCACAUUCCCUCUCAAACUACAUAAAUCAACCUAAAGGAAGAAGGGUGCACAUCCAUGGCAAAGAUUCAGUAACAAUGGGACUUUUAAGAAUGCUGACCUCCUGGAACUGAACUGCCAAUGUCAUCUGGGAAGUUGGACUUUGUUCUUGCUAAAACACUGAAAGAAGCAUAGUGUGUAACACAUCUAAUACUCCCAAAAAUAAAGUUUUGUGCUUCAUAUUUUUCA